ACCAACAAAACCAGACUAGGUGCAUUUAGAAUGGCGCUGCCUUGAUUUAAUUUCUGUCACUUUCAUUUAGGGACAACUAACUGAUGCCUACACAAGAGCAGACCACCAAGGUUCUUUGGUCGUUUCUGGAAGUCAGAUUUCCGUCCGCAACUGCUCUCUCUGUCUACUUGAUCAUCAGCCCCGCAGCCUUGGUCCUUUCAGUCCAUGACAUCAGCUCUAUGCACCUGGUCUCUUCCGCCUGCUCCAUCUGCUUGCGGACGGUCACGCACAACGGAACUCAGGGAGCGAGCCCACAGGCGUCCCGGAAGACUGUGUGUGUGCGCACACACCCGGCCUGGCUGGCCUCUCCGACCGUUGACCCGGAAAUGCUUAUGGCAGCCCCUUGGAUCUCUGGAGUACACCAUGGUAUUCCUUACAACGCGGCUCUGGCUACGGAACCGCCUCACGGACCGCUUUUGUCGGGUUCAGGAGGUGUUGAAACAUGCUCAGCAUUUUAGGGGAAGGAAGAAUCGCUGCUACCGGCUGGCAGUCAGGGCGGUGACCAGAGCUUUCGUUAAGUGUACGCAGGCCCGCAGACUGAAGAAGAGGAACCUGAGGACCCUCUGGACAAAUCGAAUUACAGCUGCCUCCCAGGAACAUGGCUUACAGUACCCAGCAUUCAUUGUCAACUUAAUUAAGUGCCAGGUGGAGCUCAACAGGAAAGUACUUGUGGACCUGGCCAUCUAUGAACCAAAGACUUUUAAAUCUUUGGCAGCUUUGGCUAAGAGAAGGCAGCAGGAAGGAUUUGCUGCAGCUUUGGGGGAUGGAAAGGAGCCUGAGGGCAUCUUUUCCAGAGUGAUGCAGUACCACUGAAGGCUAAAGAGCUAUGGAAAUUCUUAUAAACAAGAUAGUUGCAAAAGGAUUGUCUAUCACCAAUCCACCCCACAGCUGUAGCAGACCCAGAGGAAGAGCUGGAAGGGUUGAGAAGUAAAGACCCUGGACUAAAUCGCGCUGUAAUGCUGUGCGUGUGAGACUGUGGGGAAGAAGUCC